UUUCGCAGAACGUUAUAGAUACAUAUGUACAUAAGUGGAACAAUUUUUUAGAAAGAUAUUGGUUAAGGCAAUUAAACUAACCACUUCCUUGAGACUGCCAUUUCCGUUGUAAAAUUGGACUAUUUUCUUCUGCUCCUUCAGCUUACAUAAAGAAAAGAAUAACAAACGUUGUACAUGGAUAUAUAGCAAGUGGUUUUGUCAACCAUCUCUUCUGUUGUUAGUUCUGCUGCAAAUACACACCCACAGUGCUUUUCAACGAGUCACACACACAUACACACAUAUUAAUGCAAUAUUUAUUUUUUUGACUUUAAACAGC